GGAAUCUUGCGCAAUGGGCGAAAGCCUGACGCAGCCAUGCCGCGUGGAUGAUGAAGGUCUUAGGAUUGUAAAAUCCUUUCACCGGGGACGAUAAUGACGGUACCCGGAGAAGAAGCCCCGGCUAACUUCGUGCCAGCAGCCGCGGUAAUACGAAGGGGGCUAGCGUUGCUCGGAAUUACUGGGCGUAAAGGGCGCGUAGGCGGACAGUUAAGUUGGGGGUGAAAGCCCGGGGCUCAACCUCGGAAUUGCCUUCAAUACUGGCUGUCUUGAGUACGGGAGAGGUGAGUGGAACUCCGAGUGUAGAGGUGAAAUUCGUAGAUAUUCGGAAGAACACCAGUGGCGAAGGCGACUCACUGGCCCGUUACUGACGCUGAGGCGCGAAAGCGUGGGGAGCAAACA
rnacentral:rRNA from 1 species